CUGAUGUUAGGCAACUAAGUUGUCGCGUGGCCAACGUCGCUUCAGUCUCCGACGAGGAUUGACAGAUGAACUUUUUGAUGGACCUUUCUGUAAGAAGAAAAAGGCAAAUAAUUAUUUCACACACACUCUGCUAAUAGUGUUAAAGCCGAGAAUGCUUGCUACUCCAUUGUUCUAUUUAGAAAAUAAAGGAAGUGUUCACGAAGGAAUUAAUAAAUUAAUCAAACGAUUCAGACUUACUGAAGAUGUCGAAAUGUCGUGACACGCCUGACGACCAACCCAGUGAAGACCAGAAUGAUCAGUGACAGCCAAAUUGCAAGUUCAUCACUGCGCUGAGCACAGA